rnacentral:rRNA from 1 species
AACGAACGCUGGCGGCAGGCUUAACACAUGCAAGUCGAACGCGUCCUUCGGGACGAGUGGCAGACGGGUGAGUAACGCGUGGGAACGUACCCUUUGGUUCGGAACAACGCCGGGAAACUGGCGCUAAUACCGGAUAAGCCCUUCGGGGGAAAGAUUUAUCGCCAGAGGAUCGGCCCGCGUUAGAUUAGCUAGUUGGUGAGGUAAUGGCUCACCAAGGCUACGAUCUAUAGCUGGUCUGAGAGGAUGAUCAGCCACACUGGGACUGAGACACGGCCCAGACUCUUACGGGAGGCAGCAGUGGGGAAUCUUGGACAAUGGGCGAAAGCCUGAUCCAGCCAUGCCGCGUGAAUGAUGAAGGCCCUAGGGUUGUAAAAUUCUUUCGACGGGGAAGAUAAUGACGGUACCCGUAGAAGAAGCUCCGGCUAACUUCGUG